rnacentral:rRNA from 1 species
UACGUAGGGAGCAAGCGUUGUUCGGAUUUACUGGGCGUAAAGAGCGCGCAGGCGGUCGUUCAAGUCGAGUGUGAAAGCCCCCGGCUCAACUGGGGAGGGUCACUCGAUACUGAUCGACUCGAAGGCAGGAGAGGGAAGUGGAAUUCCCGGUGUAGUGGUGAAAUGCGUAGAUAUCGGGAGGAACACCAGUGGCGAAGGCGACUUCCUGGCCUGUUCUUGACGCUGAGGCGCGAAAGCUAGGGGAGCAAACGGG